UACAGAGGUCUCAAGCGUUGUUCGGAUUCAUUGGGCGUAAAGGGUGUGUAGGUGGCGCCGUAAGUCGGGUGUGAAAUUUCGGAGCUUAACUCCGAAACUGCAUUCGAUACUGCGGUGCUUGAGGACUGGAGAGGAGACUGGAAUUCAUGGUGUAGCAGUGAAAUGCGUAGAGAUCUGGAGGAACACCCGUGGCGAAGGCGGCUCCCUGGUCCGAUUCUGACGCUGAGACGCGAAAGCGCGGGGAGCGAACGGG
rnacentral:rRNA from 1 species